UCUCAAGCGUGAGGUAAGGGCAUCUGGUGAAUGCCUUGGCAUGUACAGGCGAUGAAGGACGUGGCACGCUGCGAUAAGCGUGGGGGAGCUGUGAGCAAGCUUUGAUCCCGCGAUUUCCGAAUGGGAUAACCCACCCUCACCAUUUAAUUUCGACGCUGAGUGAUCAGUUUCGGAGUUAAAUGGGAAGGGUAUCAUCUUGGCGAAUAAAAUAGCCUUGGUGAAGCGAACCCGGAGAACUGAAACAUCUCAGUACCCGGAGGAAAAGACAUCAACCGAGAUUCCGUUAGUAGUGGCGAGCGAACGCGGACCAGGCCAGUGCCUGAUAUUCAACUAGCAGAAGCUUCUGGAAAGGAGCGCCAUAGCGGGUGACAGCCCCGUAUGCGAAAGUGAUGUAUCAGGACUCGAGUAGGGCGGAGCACGUGAAACUCUGUCUGAACAUGGGGGGACCACCCUCCAAGCCUAAAUACUCGUACAUGACCGAUAGUGAACCAGUACCGUGAGGGAAAGGUGAAAAGCACCCCGAUAAGGGGAGUGAAACAGUACCUGAAACCGGAUGCCUACAAGCAGUUGGAGCGGCCUUGAGCCGUGACAGCGUACCUCUUGCAUAAUGGGUCUGUGACUUAAUGUACCAAGCAAGCUUAAGCCGUUAGGUGUAGGCGCAGCGAAAGCGAGUCUGAAUAGGGCGAUUGAGUUUGGUGUAUUAGACCCGAAACCCGGCGAUCUAUGCAUGACCAGGCUGAAGGUGCGGUAACACGCACUGGAGGGCCGAACCGUUUAAUGUUGAAAAAUUAUCGGAUGAGUUGUGCUUAGGGGUGAAAGGCCAAUCAAGCCGGGAAAUAGCUGGUUCUCCGCGAAAUCUAUUGAGGUAGAGCGUCGAAUGAUUGCCGUUGGGGGUAGAGCACUGGAUGGAUGCGGGGGUCGCGAGAUCUACCAACUCUAACCAAACUCCGAAUACCAACGAGUCUAGUUCGGCAGACAGACGGCGGGUGCUAAGGUCCGUCGUCAAAAGGGAAACAGCCCUAACCUACAGCUAAGGUCCCCAAGUCAUCACUAAGUGGGAAAGCAUGUGGAAUUUCCAAAACAACCAGGAGGUUGGCUUAGAAGCAGCCAUCCUUUAAAGAAAGCGUAACAGCUCACUGGUCUAAAUAAGAGAUUCUGCGGCGAAGAUGUAACGGGGCUAAAGUGAUGCACCGAAGCUUAGGGUGUGAUCUUCGGAUCACGCGGUAGCGGAGCGUUCCGUAGGCCGAUGAAGCGAUCUGGUAAUGGGUCGUGGAGGUAUCGGAAGUGCGAAUGCAGACAUGAGUAGCGAUUAACAGUGUGAGAUGCACUGUCGCCGAAAUUCCAAGGGUUCCUGCUUAAAGCUAAUCUGAGCAGGGUAAGCCGGCCCCUAAGACGA
rnacentral:rRNA from 1 species